rnacentral:misc_RNA from 1 species
UACGGAGGGAGCGAGCGUUGAUCGGAAUUACUGGGCGUAAAGCGUGCGUAGGCGGCUUCUUAAGUCGGAUGUGAAAUCCCCGAGCUCAACUUGGGAAUUGCAUUCGAUACUGGGAAGCUAGAGUAUGGGAGAGGAUGGUAGAAUUCCAGGUGUAGCGGUGAAAUGCGUAGAGAUCUGGAGGAAUACCGAUGGCGAAGGCAGCCAUCUGGCCUAGUACUGACGCUGAGGUACGAGAGCAUGGGGAGCAAACAGG